UGUCAGGGAAUCUCUACUUCAAGUAUCACAGCAAAACUGGAAGGCACCUCCUUGAAUUAAGCUUAUUCCAAGGACUCGACUGAAUUAAUUCAGUUUUACUGGUGGAUGCUGUUUUUCUUUUGUUGACUCAGCAGCAGGUUCCCUGAGCAACUGG
rnacentral:lncRNA from 1 species